rnacentral:rRNA from 1 species
AUAGCGUAUAUUAAAGUUGUUGUGGUUAAAAAGCUCGUAGUUGAACCUUGGGCCUGGCUGGCCGGUCCGCCUCACCGCGUGUACUGGUCCGGCCGGGCCUUUCCCUCUGUGGAACCCCAUGCCCUUCACUGGGUGUGGCGGGGAAACAGGACUUUUACUUUUAAAAAAUUAGAGUGCUCCAGGCAGGCCUAUGCUCGAAUACAUUAGCAUGGAAUAAUAGAAUAGGACGUGUGGUUCUAUUUUGUUGGUUUCUAGGGCCGCCGUAAUGAUUAAUAGGGACAGUCGGGGGCAUCAGUAUUCAAUUGUCAGAGGUGAAAUUCUUGGAUUUAUUGAAGACUAACUACUG